CGUUUCACAUAUUCUCUCACAAAGAUUUAACAAAAGUGAAUUCUAAAACUUAUUUGUCUGGAUCUGGAGACUUUUCUAGUUGCUCUUGUGUAGUUUAGAUGGUGUCAUGCAUAUACAGGAAGAGGAUUUUUUCACUGCAGAUUCAUUUGUGAAAACUGUCACUGACACAUUAAGCUGCUGAUAUUUCUGUCAUUUGGGUGUCGACGCUGAGACAUUCACACUGCAGCACGUUUUAUGAUUGCAGAAAUCACUAUGGCGACAUCACUCAUGACGUCACUUCCUCUGAUGUUCUUGAUCAUGACUGCGGGGGUUGAUGGUCAGCAGGAUUGGGGAGUGAAUUACAGCCCUUCAUAUGUUUGUGCAUUAAACGGAUCAACAGUGAAAAUAUCCUGUGUUUUAAACUAUCCACAUGAUCUUGAGGUCAGAACAGUCUUCUGGACCAAACCUACUGUAACUGAUGGAGAUCCACCGAACCUGUGUUUAGACUCAGAAAACCAGAGGAAGAGUUCAGUGUGACAGAGAAAAUAAUAACACUUACAGUAUCACUCUGACAGAUGUAACAGAAGCUGAUAAACACAUCUACUACUGCAGAUUCACUACAAACAGAGGGACAUGGACGGGGAUUCCUGGAGCUCAUCUGGACGUCACCGAUCUGCAGGUGGAGACACAGCAGAGUGUGAAAGAGGGAGAUUCAGUCACUCUGACAUGUAAAAGCAGCUGCUCUCUGCCUCAAAAAACAUUCAUCUGGUUCAGAAACACACAGAGAUUAACUACAGGAAUCAUCACAGAGAAUCAGCUUCAGCUGGAGUCAGUCAGUCGUCAAGAGACAAGAAACUAUCAGUGUGCUGUUUCAGGAUAUGAACAUCUGAUCUCUCCACAUGUUAAUCUUAAAGUAGAAUGGGGUGAUGGUCAGCAGGAUUGGGGAGUGAAUUACAGCACUUCAUAUGUUUGUGCAUUAAAGGGAUCAACAGUGAAAAUAUCCUGUGUUUUUAAACUAUCCACAUGAUCUUGAGGUCAGAACAGUCUUCUGGACCAAACCUGCUGUACCUGAUGGAGAUCCACCAAACCUGUGUUUAGUUCCACAAAAGAGAGGAAGAGUUCAGUGUGACAGUAAACGUAAAAAAGACACUUACAGUAUCACUCUGACAAAUGUAACAGAAGCUGAUAAACACAUCUACUACUGCAGAUUCAUUACAAACCUUCAGAGUGGAAAAUGGACGGGGAUUCCUGGAGCUCAGCUGGACGUCACAGACCUGCAGGUGGAGACACAGCAGAGUGUGAAAGAGAGAGAAUCAGUCACUCUGACAUGUAACAGCAGCUGCUCUCUGCCUCAAAAAACAUUCAUCUGGUUCAGAAACACACAGAGAUUAAAUACAAGAACCGUGAAAGAGAAUCAGCUUCAGCUGCAGUCAGUCAGUCGUCAAGAUGGAGGAAACUAUCAGUGUGCUGUUUCAGGAUAUGAACAUCUGAUCUCUCCACCUGUUUAUCUUAAUA